rnacentral:rRNA from 1 species
CAAUAGCGUAUAUUAACGUUGUUGCAGUUAAAAAGCUCGUAGUUGGAUUUCUGGAGGGAGCGUCGGCCCGUAUUUACGAGUGCGUGACGUCUCUGUCCAUCCUUGCGGGAAGGCACGGCAUUGAUUUGUUGUGUCGGAUCGCAUCAUUUACUGUGAAAAAAUUAGAGUGUUCAAAGCAGGCUUUCGCUUGAAUACAUUAGCAUGGAAUAAUAAGAAAGGACUUUGGUGCUAUUUUGUUGGUUGAGCCUAAAGUAAUGAUUAAUAGGGAUAGUUGGGGGCACCUGUAUUGCGUUGUCAGAGGUGAAAUUCUUGGAUUUACGCAAGACAAACAGCUGCGAAAGCGUCUGCCAAGGAUGUUUUCAUUA